UACGUAGGGUGCGAGCGUUGUCCGGAAUUAUUGGGCGUAAAGAGCUUGUAGGCGGUUUGUCGCGUCUGCUGUGAAAAUCCGGGGCUCAACCCCGGACUUGCAGUGGGUACGGGCAGACUAGAGUGUGGUAGGGGAGACUGGAAUUCCUGGUGUAGCGGUGAAAUGCGCAGAUAUCAGGAGGAACACCGGUGGCGAAGGCGCCACUCUGGGCCGGUACUGACGCUGAGGAGCGAAAGCGUGGGGAGCGAACAGG
rnacentral:rRNA from 1 species